rnacentral:tRNA from 1 species
GCGGGCGUGGUGGAAUGGUAGACACACUAGAUUUAGGUUCUAGCGAUUUAGAGUCUUGCGGGUUCAAGCCCUGCCGCCCGUA